rnacentral:lncRNA from 1 species
CAGAGCAGGUCUUGGGGAGGGCGCCCAGUCUCGGCGCCUGAGCUAAGCAGGAGGAAGUGUGUGCGCGUUGGGCGGGGCUUUGCGGAGUCAAGGCGAGCAGAACAGACCUGGCCCUGCCCGCAAGGAGGUCGCAGACGUGAACCAGCAAUCACAGACACCUCAAGAUGCAGAGAAUAAGGCGUGACCUGUCUGAGGUCACACUCUAGAAAGGAGCAGCAUCAGGACUCAGAUGCAGGUAUUUGUCCAUAAGCACUCAUCUUAGUCACCAGGAAUGUUGGGGAACACAGUUUUACGUGCUGUGAGGAGACCUGAAGAAAUAUGUCACCCUCCCUGCCCUCAGGGAGCUUACAGUCCAUCCAGGAAGAGGAGAAGAGCACAUGUCAAAAAGCUUCAAGGUUCCAGGUCGUAUGUGUUGAAUGAAUGGAGACAUGAAGCAUAAACGUUUCAAGGAAGGUGUGCGUCUGGGCUGGGUGGCUGCUAACUUCAUGACUGGGACAACACUGAAGACUCUUUCCUGAUACUCUUCAAGUGCUUGUUUCUCUAAAACUACCACUCCUUUCUGGUUUAUAGCCCAGGGCCAUCCUGGACAGUCGCCACCAGGCCUGCCAUCACUAUGGGGUGGCCCAAGGCCAUGUCUGCCAGGAACACCACCAUUUGGUAUUUAUCUAUGCAAAAUUUACAUUGACCGCUGAUGAGCAAAACAGUGCGCUCCACAUAUAGAUUGAGGGUGUGGGGCUUUUGCCACUGGAGUUCCCCCUGUGUUGAGUCACGGUGGCAGAAGGCACAGUGACAGAAGUCCCUGGGAGCCGCUGACUGGCGCUUGGAGGACUGAGUGAUUCAGCAGCGAGGCCCCCCUCUGGCCCUCCUGCCCCAGAAAGCUCUGGAUCUGCACGGAAGCAGCACGGUAAAGGGUGGACGAAUUGUGGGUGUGGAUGCUUUCCCACAAGUCUGUGCUCCCCAGUUCAGUUGUCUGGGCUCUUAUUAAAAGGGUUCGUUCUCCUCCUUAGAGUCAGACGGAGGCCCCCUGUGGGCUGCUGCUUGGGAACGGCCGGGGGUGUUCUCUGGCUGGGGCUUCAGAGGAUGCAAGGACAACCCCACAGAGCAGGAACAGCCUGCCAGUUCCAUGCCCGCAGCGGCCCCCAGAGCAGCUGCCCCAGGACACACGGAUGAGAGGGGAGGGUGUCAGAGGGGCUUCGGUAGACUUGUUGCCAUGGAAGAACUGUGGGACCAGUACAGCCAGACAUCCUAACUUUUCCAGAGAAGCCAUAAAUCUGGAUUUUCCUGUGAAGUCUUCUGACAUUUCACCCUUUGCAACCCAUUAAAUUGUUUUAAAAACACCUCCUGCGUCAAAGAAAAUGACUUUGGGCCACCCUCUUAUGCCCUCCAAUUUAGACCCCAAACAGCAAGCAGAGUGUCCACCUCUUUAGUCCAGAUGAUUAGCACCCAGCACCUGUGGUGACGUGCUCCUCAGAGCGCUCCUUCCUCAGGGGGCGAAGCUGGCAAAUGCGACUGGGGCAGGCGCAAGUGCUGGCAUCAGU